AAAGACCCUGCCUCUUGAUGGAAGGAAAGUCAAACAAUUUUUCUAGCCAUUUUUUAAAACCAACAUGCCAAUAAAUGGUUAUCUAGAAAACCUGAAAAUGCAAGAUUUACCCCUAAUCCAGAGACGCCUCUUUCCAAGAUCUCAUUCAAGAACCAAAACACAGCUUUCAACCACUAUGCAUACUGCUUGCUUAUGCUACAUCGGCUCCAUCUGAUCCGUAGAUAAAGAAAUGCUGGAAAGUAGAAAGCUUCUAUUUACAGCUAUGUCCACCCAAGCUGUCUUUCCUGCUGCACAGUGAGUGGCACAGAGACCAACCGAGUGCACCAUACGAGACCAAUUAGCUAGAGAAAAUGUGUGCUGGAUCCUCCACCACCAGAAUCCAGAGCUACUGAGACCCUGUAUCUGGCAAUUGGGUUUGGACAGGCAGACAAGGGGAGUUCCAGGGUGUCUGGUGGGCUCUUAGGUAAGACCUGGGCUGGACAGCUUAGACCUUCAGCUUCCUACCCAGGAACCUAAAAGAGCUACAAUCUAUAGCGCAAUCCCCGCACUAAGUGACCUUCGCAGUUGCUGGUGAAGAGGAGAAGGCACAGACUUUGUCCGUGGCAGGAGAAAGAACAAGAGGAAUGUGCCAAUCUUGAGACAGAGGAAUGAGCAUCUCAUUUCCAGGAAUCUCACUGCUGAUAGCACAGAUGGAAUUAGAGGAAGCCAGGAUGAUCUUCUGGAAGUGGUGCUCAGGUCUCUCAUGAAAGCAGGGAAUCUGUUCUUCUCCUAGCGGUACCUAAGGGAACUGGCUCCCCACUUCCUGCCACGAGGAAGUUCACUGGAAUGCUGCUGAACUUGACCUUGAGGUUCCAGGUGCCUCCCAUAGUGGUGUUCCCAAGCUGACUUUGGUAGUGGUUGUACAACC
rnacentral:lncRNA from 1 species